CCUACGGGUGGCAGCAGUGAGGAAUAUUGGUCAAUGGCCGGAAGGCUGAACCAGCCAUGCCGCGUGAAGGUCAGUGCCCUAUGGGCGUUAAACUUCUUUUGUGCGGGAGCAAUAAUGGUCACGUGUGGCCAGACGAGAGUACCGUACGCAUAAGCAUCGGCUAACUCCGUGCCAGCAGCCGCGGUAAUACGGGGGAUGCAAGCGUUAUCCGGAUUAAAUGGGGUUAAAGGGUGCGUAGGCUGUGAGGUAAGUCAGCGGUGAAAUGCCCCCGCUCAAAGGGGUGAAGUGCCAUUGAUACUGCCUUGCUAGAGUGCGGAUGCGGUGGGAGGAAUGUGUGGUGUUGCGGUGAAAUGCAUAGAUAUCACACAGAACACCGAUUGCGAAGGCAUCUCACGAAUCCGCGAUUGACGCUGAUGCACGAAAGCGUGGGUAUCAAACAGGAUUAGAUACCCUUGUAGUC
rnacentral:rRNA from 1 species